rnacentral:rRNA from 1 species
CCACCACUAAGCCAGUGGUGAACUCCACAUACGCAUCCUUUGCUGAGGAUACGGUUAACGGAGCGAAAGCGACGUUCAACCGCAAAAGAAGCAGAGGGGGCUUAGUGGUGGGGUGACUGCGUACCUUUUGUAUAAUGGGUCAGCGACUUAUAUUCUGUAGCAAGGUUAACCGUAUAGGGGAGCCGAAGGGAAACCGAGUCUUAACUGGGCGUUAAGUUGCAGGGUAUAGACCCGAAACCCGGUGAUCUAGCCAUGGGCAGGUUGAAGGUUGGGUAACACUAACUGGAGGACCGAACCGACUAAUGUUGAAAAAUUAGCGGAUGACUUGUGGCUGGGGGUGAAAGGCCAAUCAAACCGGGAGAUAGCUGGUUCUCCCCGAAAGCUAUUUAGGUAGCGCCUCGUGAACUCAUCUUCGGGGGUAGAGCACUGUUUCGGCUAGGGGGUCAUCCCGACUUACCAACCCGAUGCAAACUGCGAAUACCG